rnacentral:rRNA from 1 species
CCCUGCCAUUUGUACACACCGCCCGUCGCACCUACCGAUUGAAUGACUCGGUGAAAAAUUGGGACUGUGAACCUGCUUGCUUUAUUGCGAGUGGAUUUAUGGGAACUUUUUUUAACCUCGCCAUUUAGAGGAAGGUGAAGUCGUAACAAGGUU